GACGAACGCUGGCGGCGUGCCUAAUACAUGCAAGUCGAACGCUUUUUCUUUCACCGGAGCUUGUUCCAUCGAAAGAAAAAGAGUGGCGAACGGGUGAGUAACACGUGGGUAACCUGCCCAUCAGAAGGGGAUAACACUUGGAAACAGGUGCGAAUACCGUAUAACACUAUUUUCCGCAUGGAAGAAAGUUGAAAGGCGCUUUUGCGGCACUGAUGGAUGGAACCGCGGUGCAUUAGCUAGUUGGUGAGGUAACGGCUCAUCAAGGCAACGAUGCAUAGCCGGCCUUAGAGGGUGAUCGGCCACACUGGGACUGAGACACGGCCCAGACUCCUACGGGAGGCAGCAGUAGGGAAUCUUCGGCAAUGGACGAAAGUCUGACCGAGCAACGCCGCGUGAGUGAAGAAGGUUUUCGGAUCGUAAAACUCUGUUGUUAGAGAAGAACAAGGAUGAGAGUAAAAUGUUCAUCCCUUGACGGUAUCUAACCAGAAAGCCACGGCUAACUACGUGCCAGCCGCCGCGGUAA
rnacentral:rRNA from 1 species